AAAACAUUUCGGCUACUGGAGGAUCAAGUUUGGUGGCGCUAUUUUCUACAAAAGCUCCUCUAAACAUUCUAACCUUUCUCCAAACUUCUGACGGCUUCUGAACAUUCAGAAUCCCACCAUGGAGGACUGGGAAUAUUAAAUUUAGAGGACUUCUUAUGUGGAAAUACUUCAUCAGCUAUAUUAAUUAUAAACUUAGCAAAGGCAUCAGAAGUUUUAAACAAAUGUUCCAAGAUACAUCAGGCAAUUCUUCCAACCUCUCAUCCAUAUGUUUACGAAACUUAUCCCAAUCUGCAUUUUGAAGUUUAUAUGCUAACAGUGGAGAUCUUUUAAAAAAUGGUUUGUUUUUAGAAGGAAAAGAAAUGACAAUCGGAGAAUGAUCACUGCCAUAGGACAGAGGGAGUACCUCCCAGAGUAAGGAGUGUGCAAUGGAAGAGCUACAAAUUGAUAAGUCUAAUGCACUAGGAUUCUCAUUGGGAGCAGACCGACGCGUGGGAACACCUGAGUUCAAUAUAUAUAAAUCAUAAUACUCUGCUAUGUCUAUUAUUUCCUCUCCUAAACUACUAGCAUUGUAACACCCCCAAGCUGGGUGAUGGCAAUUAAAAUCUCCUAAUAUUAAACAUGGAGUAGGAAGAGAUGAUAUGAUAUUUCUUACUUCACUAAGUAUGGCUAUCGAGGGAUGAGGUAUGUACACUGAAACUAUACAAAUGUUAUCUACAAGUGCUGAAAUAAUGGAAAAUUCAUUAUUAUGAGGUGCUAAUGAAACAUGAGAGAAAUGAUAUGAUUUUUUUACAAGAAUGGCUACGCCACCAUGCCCAUCCGACCUAUCUUCACGGAGGCAGGCAUAGCCAGGAAUUCUGAAACAUAACUCGGACCUGAGCCAUGUUUCAGUUAGGAAUUUUGGAAUUGUUGGCCAUUGUUGAAGGAAAGAUGAGA